rnacentral:rRNA from 1 species
UCCAGACUCCUACGGGAGGCAGCAGUGGGGGAUAUUGCACAAUGGGGGGAACCCUGAUGCAGCGACGCCGCGUGGGUGAAGGAGCGUUUCGGCGCGUAAAGCCCUAUCGGCAGGGAAGAAGGAGGACGGUACCUGACUAAGAAGCCCCGGCUAACUACGUGCCAGCAGCCGCGGUAAUACGUAGGGGGCAAGCGUUAUCCGGAUUUACUGGGUGUAAAGGGGGCGCAGACGGCGGCGCAAGCCAGGAGUGAAAGCCCGGGGCCCAACCCCGGGACUGCUCUUGGAACUGCGCGGCUGGAGUGCAGGAGGGGCAGGCGGAAUUCCUGGUGUAGCGGUGAAAUGCGUAGAUAUCAGGAGGAACACCGGUGGCGAAGGCGGCCUGCUGGACUGCGACUGACGUUGAGGCCCGAAAGCGUGGGGAGCAAACAGGAUUAGAUACCCCGGUACA